rnacentral:tRNA from 1 species
GCUUGUCUAGCUUAGUUGGUAGAGCACAAAGCUCUUAACCUUAAGGUCGUGGGUUCAAGCCCCCCACCGUGAGCG